rnacentral:rRNA from 1 species
AGGGGGCUAGCGUUGUUCGGAAUUACUGGGCGUAAAGCGCACGGAGGCGGAUCGGAAAGUUGGGGGUGAAAUCCCGGGGCUCAACCCCGGAACUGCCUUCAAAACUACUGGUCUUGAGUUCGAGAGAGGUGAGUGGAAUUCCGAGUGUAGAGGUGAAAUUCGUAGAUAUUCGGAGGAACACCAGUGGCGAAGGCGGCUCACUGGCUCGAGACUGACGCUGAGGUGCGAAAGCGUGGGGAGCAAA